rnacentral:rRNA from 1 species
UACGGAGGGUGCAAGCGUUAUCCGGAUUCACUGGGUUUAAAGGGUGCGUAGGCGGGCAGGUAAGUCCGUGGUGAAAUCUCUGAGCUUAACUCAGAAACUGCCAUGGAUACUAUUUGUCUUGAAUAUUGUGGAGGUAAGCGGAAUAUGUCAUGUAGCGGUGAAAUGCUUAGAUAUGACAUAGAACACCAAUUGCGAAGGCAGCUGGCUACAGGGAUAUUGACACUGAGGCACGAAAGCGUGGGGAUCAAACAGG